rnacentral:ncRNA from 1 species
GCACAUUCCCGGCGUCGUGGUUCUGCGAGCCUGAUGGCCCGGAGCUAAGAGGGAAUCCGGCGCGCCGAAUCUCCGGAAGGAAUCGGCAAAUCCGGGGCUGCCCCCGCAACUGUGAGCGGCGAGCCGACGUCCACGUCGAGUCACUGGGGUAACGAACCCUGGGAAGACCGGACGAAGGCUGAGACCCGCGAGCCAGGAGACCUGCCGCGACAUCAUAUCGUCC